UACGAAGGGUGCAAACGUUGCUCGGAAUUAUUGGGCGUAAAGCGCACGUAGGCGGCUUAGCAAGUCGGAAGUGAAAUCCCUCGGCUCAACCAAGGAAGUGCUUUCGAAACUGCUGAGCUUGAGUACUAAAGAGGAUCGCGGAAUUCCCGGUGUAGAGGUGAAAUUCGUAGAUAUCGGGAGGAACACCAGUGGCGAAGGCGGCGACCUGGACAAGUACUGACACUCAACUACGAAAGCGUGGGGAGCAAACAGG
rnacentral:rRNA from 1 species